rnacentral:misc_RNA from 1 species
UAUGUCAUUAUUGGUUAAAGUGUUCCUUACCAAUGUAUGUACCAUUAAUUUUCUAGAAAGAAAAAACUAAAGCAAUUGCUAGUUGGUUUAUAAGCAUUUCUAUAUUUUUAAAAUAUUUUAUUUUAUUAAUCACGCUAUCAGAAUUUAUCUCAAGUAUAGAUAUAUUCUAUAACGAAAUAAUAUAAAGUUCAUUGAAAAUGAAAGAAAAAAUUUUUUUGUCAUUGUCCCAUUUAACCUCAAAUGCACUAUUCUUAAAAAUUAAAAAUCAAAUUAUAAAUUAAGAAUAAGUUUUUCAUGUUUUGAUUAAUUUAUCAUUAAAUAUCAAAUAUUAAAUGUCAAAAAAAUGAGUGAUUCUGAGGAUGAAAAUUAUGUUACAUUUGGAGUACCUCUUGAUCCAUUAGACGAAGAUAAUUUACCGAGAAAAAAACCAAUGACAAUUGAAGAUCAAUAUGCAUAUGAUGCACAAGGAAGACGUAGAUUUCAUGGUGCAUUUACAGGUGGUUUUUCUGCUGGAUAUUUUAAUACAGUAGGCACAAGAGAUGGUUGGAGACCACAACAAUUCAAAUCUUCUAGAAGUAGUAAAGCAGAAAGUAUAACACAGCGUCCAGAAGAUUUUAUGGAUGAAGAAGAUACAAGUGAAUUUGGAAUUGCACCAACAGGAAUUCGUGCUACAGAGGAUUAUGGUGAUCAUAGUCAAAGAGGAACAAAACGUGAAAGACCUAUUUAUGAUAGCAAUGGUCCUAUUCCUGGCACUCCAGUAUUAAAAGAACUUUUAAAACCUGUAAAAGAAACAGUUGGUAUUAUGUUAUUAAAAAAAAUGGGAUGGAGACCAGGACAAGGUACAGGAUCAAGACUUACAAAAAAGGAGAAAGCUAAAAUUAAAAAAAGAAAUGAAAGAAUGAAAAAUUUACAACAAAUAUCUAGAAAAGCAAGCUCAGAAAAUAGUUCUGAGGAUUCAGAAGAUGAUUAUGAAAAUGUUACAUUUGCACCUGAUGAUUAUGAACCAUUUAGAUGUAAUCCAAAAGACAAUUAUUUUGGUAUAGGAUACAGUGGUUUAGACAGAAGAACAAUAUUAUCUGGUCAUGUAAAUUUAUUUGAUACUCCAGCAUUUAAUAUGCAAGACAAAAAUAAAAAAUUGUCGAUACAUGGACAAGCAUUUGGAGUUGGUGCAUUCGAAGCCGAUGAUGAUGAUAUAUAUGAAAGAGAAGAUAUGUCACGUUACGAUUUUUCUCUAGCUCCAGAACGGAAAUCCAAGACAAGAUGGUCUGAUGAUAAUUCGAAAAAUUUAAGUAGUAAUUGUUUAGAAGGCUUUAUAUUAGCAAAAGAUAAAUUAAAACUGAAAACAAUUUUUCAACCUCCAGUAUUACCAAAAGAUUUUGUACCAGUACAUAUAAUUAGAAAAAGUCGAUUUUAUCCUCCAAUUGAAAAUGUUCAUCGUGGAAUUGAAAAUGGAAAGCGAAAAGAUUUAACAGCAGCAGACAGAGCUAGAAUAUUGGAAGAUACAUGUAAUGUGAAAAAACCAUCUGAAAUAUAUCCAAAUUCAGUAUCAUCGGUUGUUUCCAAUAUUAUUUCUAAAACGUUAAAUUUACACGGAAAGCAGCAAACUGAAGAAAGACAGAAAGAAGAAAAUCUAAAUCAAGGAUCUAAAUCAGCUGUUUCAUGGAUGGAAAAACUAAAUGUACAAAGUUUUGUUAAAGGAGGUAUUAUUGGUCCUGGUAAAGAUUUCGAGAAAAAUUUGAAAGAAUUAAAAGAAUUUAAAGAAAAUUCAUCAACUUCUGAACAAACAAAAACAAGUGUUAAUGAGUUAGAUAAAAAUAAUUUUAUGAAAAAUAGCAAUAUGAAAUCAUUUUUUUCUAAUCCUGAUAAACAAAGACGUUUUGAACAAUAUUUAGUUUUUAUGAGACAGGGAGAAAAAAAUAAGCUUGAAAGUAUACAACCAUUAUCUAUGACAGAAUGGGAUAGAGAACACGAACGAGUUGAAUUUGAACAAGCAAUUAAAUUAGUUGAUCAACCAACAAAUGAUCAUGUUGAAAAUAAAUGUACUCAUGAUUCCACAAAUAUAGAUGUUUCUACAACAUUUAAUCAGGAGGAUGAAAUGAAACAAGCUGUAAAGAUGAAAAUGUUUGGAAAAUUAACUCGAGAGCGCAUGGAAUGGAAACCAGCAAGCAUAGUAUGUAAAAGAUUUAAUAUUCCUGAACCAAAAAUUGGCUGUGCUCCUGAGAUGCAGAAGAAAUCAGCAAAGUUUUCAAUUUUCGAUUCUUUUGAUUGGAAUAAUUCUACAAAAUUUUUGCGGGCAUCGAAAGAAUCAAACGAAAUUAAUAUAUCGCCAAAAGAUAAAAACAUCAUUAACAAUACAAACUUGAAUGUUAAGACAAAUGAUAAUAAAUCUUUUGACAAUGAUCAAACUUUCGAACCUAUAUCAGAAAAAAUAAGAAAUUUUGAAGUUUCUUACGAAAAAGUUUUUGGAAAAGAAAUGCCAGAAACAUCUUCCAAAAUGUUAGAAAAUGAACAAAAUGUAGACGAAAAAAUUGAUCCAAAAAGAGUAACAGAGAUUACAGAUCAACAAGAUAAAGAUCAGGAAGAAAUUAAUUCUGCAACAAAUAUUACAUUAAAAGGUACAUCAAAAGAAAAGAAAGAUCUAUUUAAGGCAAUUUUUUUAAGCAGUAGUGAGGAAUCUGAUUCCGAAUUAGAGGAAAGCGUAGAUAGCGAGGCUGUAAAGUCCGUUUUAAUUGGUAAAGUUCCAAGCGAAAUAAAUUUAAAUAGAAAUACUUCUCCACCAAGAGGAAUUUUUGCAAAAGUAGAUCUUGAUAAUUUAGUCAUUAAUUCAAGAACUAGUAUAUCAAAUGAAGGAAUUAAUAAAGAAGAAGAUAUAAAUACAACAAAUUCUGACUUAGAAAUUAAAUCGAAACAAGAUGAUGAUAAAUUAAAUUCAGAAACUCAAUUAUUACCUGAUAUGUAUGGACCUGCUCUUCCUUCAAGAUUAUUGAAAAAUACAAAUGAAAUAGCAGAAGCAUCCAGUUCACAAUCUUCAAAACCUAUAUUUAAAAGUGUUGUAAUACCAAAACCCAAGAUGGACUCAAAAAUUUCUGGUGUAUGGAUAGAACGAGAAAAAAUGAAAAAAACAAAGAAAGAGAAGAAAAAACAUAAACACAAAGAACAUAAAAGUUCGAAACAUAAACGAAAAUCGAAAAAAGAAAAGCGUGAUUCGUGACAUAAGAAAUUGGAACAAUAAUAAAGGAAUUAACAAAGAAGACGUUGAUGGAAAAACUCUGAAAGAUCCAUGAGCGAAGUCCAACCGGCUGAUGCAUACGAUGGCUCCGAAUUUCCUUUAAAGUCAUCCUUUGCCAAAUUUGUUGCCGAGGACCAACCGCGCUUUCCAUUUUCAGCAGAUCUAUUAAUUAAAAUUGUAUUACGAAAUUUUGUAUUAUUCCAAUCAGACAAAAAACGCAUAGUUAUGAAUUCCAGAAAUAAUGUAUAGCAUAAUAAGUUCUAGAUUUGCAUAAUGAAUUCUAGAU